rnacentral:rRNA from 1 species
GGGUGCGAUCAUACCAGCACUAAUGCACCGGAUCCCAUCAGAACUCCGCAGUUAAGCGUGCUUGGGCGAGAGUAGUACUACGAUGGGUGACCUCCUGGGAAGUCCUCGUGUUGCACCCCUAA